CACGUCAGUGCGAUGUCAGUGCACGCGCCAGGAAAUCGCGUCCACGUCAGCAACUCGCGCUGAUGUGGACGCGAUUUCCUGGCGCGUGCACUGACAUUGCACUGACGUGG
rfam:Gossypium raimondii Chr09_contig_1550, whole genome shotgun sequence.